GUUUGCUUCAGCAGUGCAGAUACUAAAAUUGAAACGAUACAGAAAGCAGCAUGGUCCUUGGGCGAGAAUGGCAGGCAAAUGCAUGAGGCAUUCCAUAUUUUU
rnacentral:snRNA from 1 species